GUAGUUGGAUUCGCAUCAAUCCACAUGUAUUGGGAUAGGUUGAAGUGGAAUUUGAACUAAAUUAUACUCUAAUCCACUCCAACAUAUGUGGAUUAAGGUGAAUCCGAUA
rfam:Sorghum bicolor cultivar BTx623 chromosome 5, whole genome shotgun sequence.